AUUGAACGCUGGCGGCAGGCCUAACACAUGCAAGUCGAGCGCGAAAGGCCUUCGGGCUGAGUAGAGCGGCGGACGGGUGAGUAACGCGUAGGAAUCUACCUGGUAGUGGGGGACAACAUGGUGAAAACCAUGCUAAUACCGCAUACGCCCUAUGGGGGAAAGCGGGGGACCUUCGGGCCUCGCGCUAUCAGAUGAGCCUGCGUAGGAUUAGCUUGUUGGUGAGGUAAAGGCUCACCAAGGCGACGAUCCUUAGCUGGUCUGAGAGGAUGAUCAGCCACACUGGAACUGAGACACGGUCCAGACUCCUACGGGAGGCAGCAGUGGGGAAUAUUGCGCAAUGGGCGAAAGCCUGACGCAGCCAUGCCGCGUGUGUGAAGAAGGCCUUCGGGUUGUAAAGCACUUUCAAUUGGGAAGAAAGGUUGCGUGUUAAUAGCACGUAGCUGUGACGUUACCUUUAGAAGAAGCACCGGCUAACUCCGUGCCAGCCGCCGCAGUAAGAC
rnacentral:rRNA from 1 species